rnacentral:rRNA from 1 species
UACAGAGGUCCCGAGCGUUGUUCGGAUUCAUUGGGCGUAAAGGGUGCGUAGGCGGUUUGCUAAGUUUGAUGUGAAAUCCCGGGGCUUAACCCCAGGACUGCAUUGAAUACUGGCGGACUAGAGUACUGGAGAGGAAACUGGAAUUUACGGUGUAGCAGUGAAAUGCGUAGAGAUCGUAAGGAAGACCAGUGGCGAAGGCGAAUCUCUGGACAGUUACUGACACUGAGGCACGAAGGCCAGGGGAGCAAAACGGGA